GACAGAGGGUGCAACGUUGCUCGGAAUUACUGGGCGUAAAGCGCGUGUAGGCGGUCUCGCGAGUCGGGUGUGAAAGCCCUGGGCUCAACCCAGGAAGUGCACUCGAAACUGCGAGGCUAGAGUACUGGAGAGGUUGGUGGAAUUCUCGGGUGUAGAGGUGAAAUUCGUAGAUAUCGAGAGGACACCGGUGGCGAAGGCGGCCAACUGGACAGAUACUGACGCUGAGGAGCGAAAGCGUGGGAGCGAACAGG
rnacentral:rRNA from 1 species